rnacentral:rRNA from 1 species
UACGUAGGGUGCGAGCGUUAAUCGGAAUUACUUGGCGUAAAGGGUGCGCAGGCGGUCUUGUAAGUCAGAUGUGAAAUCCCCGGGCUUAACCUGGGAAUUGCGUUUGAAACUGUGAGACUAGAGUGUAGCAGAGGGGGGUGGAAUUCCAUGUGUAGCAGUGAAAUGCGUAGAGAUAUGGAAGAACAUCGAUGGCGAAGGCAGCCCCCUGGGUUAACACUGACGCUCAGGCACGAAAGCGUGGGGAGCAAACAGG